AAAGCUGCUAGCUCAGUUUCAAGCGCAGUCUGGACUGACUACUCGAUGGGCACAGAUACAACGUUCCAAUUCAGUGUAAGAGUGUACUGUGAAAGCGAAUACCAGGGUCCGGACUGCGGAAUGUGGUGCCCAUGCCACGAUACGGACAACCAGAAUAGCUUCUUUGAAAUUAAGCAGAAAAGGGACAUGGAAGAGCUGUGAGGAUGUUUGGUGCAGAGAAAGGUCAAGAAUCAUCUGAUGAUGAAAAGCUUUGGCCUCAUCUCUACCCAGUCAAAGACAUGGCAGCGGAGUACAUGACAUUUAAGACGGGAAAGACUGCUUUUGAAAAUUUCAGAUUUGUUUCCAUUUUUUCGUCUCGAUGUUGUUUCUUUAUUUGUCUUUUCUUCAAGAUGUGCCGUCGGUGCUUUAAAACAAUAUGAGUUCUGGCGUAUUUUUUUUAACUAUUUGGUUAUAUUUUAACGAAAAACAAUAUCCCCACCUGUUGCCGUCUGCAAGC